rnacentral:tRNA from 1 species
GGGCCUGUAGCUAUGGUAGCUGGCAAAAAUCGCCAUUUUUGUUAAGCCGGUUCAAUUCCGGUCAGGUCCACCA